rnacentral:rRNA from 1 species
UCCUACGGGGCGCAGCAGUGGGGAAUAUUGCACAAUGGGGGAAACCCUGAUGCAGCGACGCCGCGUGAGUGAAGAAGUAUUUCGGUAUGUAAAGCUCUAUCAGCAGGGAAGAAAAUGACGGUACCUGACUAAGAAGCCCGGCUAACUACGUGCCAGCAGCCGCGGUAAUACGUAGGGGGCAAGAGUUAUCCGGAUUUACUGGGUGUAAAGGGAGCGUAGACGGCAGGGCAAGUCUGGUGUGAAAGCCCGGGGCUGAACACCGGGACUGCGUUGGCAACUGUCAGGCUAGAGUGCAGGAGAGGGGA